rnacentral:lncRNA from 1 species
GACGGGAUGGUUGUGAGCGGGACAGAAACUCCACCACAAGGGUUCUGGGGGUACUACAGGGACUAAAGGAAGCAGUGUGAUCAGUGUGAAAGCAGCAAGGCCAUGAUUUAUUUCUUGGGCGUGUAGUUUUCUCCCGAGGCCUCUGCUUGGUUAUUUUACCCAGCAUCGGUGCCAAAGGAGAUUUCCCCAAAGGGAAAAGUACUGCAGUGCUCGACGCAUUACAGUCCUUUCCCGUUUGCAAGCUCUCCCACACAUUCCUUCUUCUGUUCCCAAAUCACAGGAGACGACGAGAAAGAGAACAGACCACCUGUCCAGAUAAUUUGCCUUUGGAGUCUGCAGGGCUGGUGAAGGCAUCCUGAGAUGGGGGAGGCCCCUGGGGACCUCCACAGUCAGGGCUCCCACCUCCUCUCCCACACCGCUCUGCCUCAUGCCCUGGGUUGCCUGUCUGACUGUCUCAAGACUGGGGGUUCUCCGGUGAGCAGAUGGCUGCUUAGCGUCUGAGGGGCAGACACCAUGCCGUGGUGACAGCGUGAUCCCUUGAUGGAAAGGCCACCAGAACCACUGGUAGUGCAGCUGGACACUGCGGAGCCCUGGGACCACACCCGCUGCCUCCCUCCAGACUCCUUAGGUCUAUGCCGUGUGCCUGGCUUUUUCCAACCACUCCGAAUUGAUCAUUUCCUAAUGACCACAUGGCUCAGAAACUCACAGCACAUCCUUCUAGGGGCCUCUUUCUCCCAAGUCCUCCCAGGGACUUGGCAGCUUCAUCUCUAAGGCCUGCAGAGGCUGUGGCUAUGGCUGUCCAUUGUUCUCGCUCCUUGGCUUCAGUUCAGAGCCAUCAAAUCCCUGCAGCUCGCACACUGGAACAUUCAUAUUUUGGAUAAGGCCUUUGCUGUCAGUGGAAUACAGCAACACACAAGACAGACACAGUUGCCUUCCCGCUGAGGCUGGACGUCUACAAAGAAACUCUGGACAGCUAUUUGCCAAGGCGAUGGGCACUACAGAUGAGACGCACAAAUGAUAUGACUCAUGGGUGACGCUGGGCAAACCUCGGUGGUUGAGUCCUGUUGGGUUUUCUCAUAGGAGGUGCUUCCAGGAACAUUCUUGUGCAAGACCGUGUGAGAGUAUCUCCAAGAUAGACAAGUGGAAGUGAAAUUCUGGGCCAUAGUGGAUGAACACUUGCCAAGAGGUGUUGACAAAUUAGUCUUAAAUGAACCUGUACUGCAUUUUAAGGCCUGGGAGCUCUUAGUGGCCCCAUCCUUUCCAAAGCUUGUGUGGUUGGCCGAGUAAUGUCUUCCAAGAUGUCCAAUUCCCAAUCCCUGGAACUUCUGAAUGCUAGCCUGUAUGACAAAAGAGACUCUGAAGCUGGGAUUAAGUUAAGAAUCUUGAGUGGGGAGAUUAUCCUGGAUAAUCCAAAUGGGUCCUUAUAAGAAAGAGGCAUGAGAUCAGAGAACCAGAAGGUGAUGUGAGGAUGGAAUCUAAGAGAGAGUUGAGGAUGCUGUGGCUGCUGGCUUUGAAGGUGCAGGAAGGGCCAUGAGCCAAGGAAUGUGAGAAAUGGAGCUGGAGUUGCCAGAAAAGGCAAGAACAGGGAAUCUUCCUGAGAGGCUGCAGAAGGAGCCAGCUGUGCAACACCUUGACUUUAGCCCAGCGAGACUGUUUUCCAACUUCUGAGCUCCAAAACUAAAUUGGAGGCAGAAGGUUACCAACAUUGCCUGGUGUCCAGCCAGGAGGUAGAGCGUGGUGGCAUCCAGAACCUUCCUCCAACUCCUGCCUGGCGUGGUUUUUAUUCAUCUUUGUAUUCCCAAGAAACUUCUCAGUGUCUCAGGAGUGUUAGGCACUCAAGCUUUCCAAGGUGAAAGUGUUGGACACUCUUUCUUCAUCUCAGAUUUAAUCAACUAAGAAUGCUGCAAAUUGAACACCAGUCCACAAAACUCAGGAAUACAUGAAAAGCAUUGUGCCUUAUUUUUAACUAACUCAAAUUCUAUGUCAGUCUCCCUUUUAUGCUGGAUGUUGGCGCUAAAUCUCAGUGGGUUCCUCAUUCUGCCAGACCUGUGUCCAGUUUGGGGGCUUCACAUAGAGCCACCCCAUCACAGGAGAGGGAAGGGUCUUGCUCUUGGUUGCCAUCACUCCACCCUCUUGUCUUCCGAGCUUUGAUGUUCACUUUCCUUUUCACCACUCGGAAGCUUCCUGCCAUGAUACAUUGAGACCUCAAUGUUAAUGCCAAUUGGGGUUUGGGGUUCUCAUAAACUCAGAAGUCCAGGAAAAUCGCCUGCUGCCUCCCACAACACUCUGAGGGCAUUCUGGAAUCCUACCACUUACCUGGAGCCUGCUGGCCUCAACUGUUUUGAAGUCUGUGUCUGGGCCAUGCAGGUAAAUGGGAGGAUGUUCUGUGGCCAUAAAAAUACCCGAAGUCCCACCUAAAGUUGAUGCAGGGUCUUCUGCAUUUCAUUGCAAAAUUGUUCUAUCAUUUCUAUAGUUUUCAGCCUACAGUCAGGGGCCAGGACUUUGCACCCUUGGUAAACCUCAAUCUCUUCUCCUUCCUGGCUUCUACUCCUUUCUCCCUCAAUCCCAAAUCAAGGCCCUUGAUUGUCUGGAGGUAGGAAAGCCUGGUUCUGGCUCAUGAUAUAGUCUACAUCAUAGCCUUUGUCAUCUCAUGGAUUCACUCAACAACCGUGUGUGGAUGGGGCCACCCAAUAUGUGCCAGGAGUUGAGGACACGCAGGGUUAUGAUGAUGAAAUAGAUAAGGGGCCCACACUCACGGACCCUGCAGGACAGUGGAGCUGUGGACCCAGCAUGCGAGUAAAGACCCAGUGAGCUCACCAGACAGAUCAUUUAAAUCAGGUGAUAGGACAGUGAAGGGCGGGGGCUGCAUUAGUUUUGGUGGCAAGAGAAGGAUUAUCUUCUGAGAGGAUCCACAAAGUAAAGAGGGCCGGUAUGACUGGGUAGAGUGAGGACCGUGGUUGAGGCAGAAGAUGGAGCUCUUUAUUGAGCUCUAGGGAGCCCGUCGGAUGGGACCUACGGGGCUUGAGGGAGCCCAUCGGAUGGGACCUACGGGGCUUGAGGGAGCCCAUCGGAUGGGACCUACGGGGCUUGAGGGAGCCCAUCGGAUGGGACCUACGGGGCUUGAGGGAGCCCAUAGGAUGGGACCUACGGGGCUUGGCGGACUUAAUUUUAAAUGUGGAAGAAGCCAUUGCAGAGCCUGAACCUGAGGUGUGGCAUGGUUCGAGUUACUUCAAACCAAAUUUAUUGAAAUCUCUUUGCAUAAAAUGCAAUGCGUAGAUCUUAAGAGUAUAGUUCAAUGAGAUUUGAUAAAUGUAUGCACCAGUGUAACAACUCCUCCAGUCAAGAUAAAGAAACGUCCCUCACUAUUUCCUCAUGCCCCUUCAUAGUCAAUAUCUGAUCCACUCAGCCUAGGCAACCAUUGAUCUGCUUUUAUCACCAUAGAUAUUUGGGUAUGAGUCUUUGUAUGAUCAGCUAUUUUUAUGUUGCUUGGGUAAAUAUUUAGGAAUAGAACUGCUGAGGCCAAGGAUAGAAUAUUUAACUUGAUUGCCGACUGUUUUUCCCAAGUGGUUGUACCACGUUCUGCCUCCACCAGCAUGUGUGAGUUUCCAGGGCUUCUUGUCCUUGCCAGAUACCAGGUGGUUGCAUGCCGUGUCCCAGUGGCUGUUGGGAAUCACAGUAGCUGGGCCCAAGAUGACUCUGGAGGACUUUACAUUUGCGCCCAUCUGUGGGUCCUCCUAUGCCAGUGUUUCCCAAAGCAUGGGCCAUGCGCAUUAUUCUUUCCAAAAUGAUGUCAUAUGGUGCAUAGGAAUGUCAUGGAAUACAAUGGAAUCACUCUGGAAGGAACUUUUCCCUUCUCAGGUGUUGUUUGAAUAUUCCUGAUGUGAUCGAGGAGAUUAACUGCUACUUAACAUCUCUGCACCGCUUGCUAAACUCCUUGUUAAAAUUAUGCUUUUUAUUUUGAAGGAGUUCUAGAUUCACAUGCGUUGUAAGAAAUAACAGAGAGAUUGCAUGUACUCUUCACCCAGUUUCUCCCAAUGGUAACAUCUUGCGAAACUAUGGUGCAAAAUCAAAACCAAAUCUCUUUUUAUAACAAAGAGAGGGUUCCCACCUCAAGCUCAGAUCCUUCCCUGUGUAGCUAGAACUUAGUAACAGUGUUUUAUUUUAUUAUAUUCAGUUUCAAGGGUUACAUUCUAUUUAUAACAAAUGA